rnacentral:tRNA from 1 species
GGACGCAUAGCUCAGUUGGUUAGAGUGCUACGUUGACAUCGUAGAGGUCACUGGUUCGAGACCAGUUGCGUCCA